AAUCUCUAUAAUAUGAUCUGUAUUCUGUUGACGACUUGCAAAGAGUAAAAUAACUUGCCUAUACAGGAGACGACUUGUUAAUUGUUAAGGUGUAACAAUAAAAGUCUGACUAUUU